UCCAUAGUGGCUUAGAUGGUAAAGCAUCUGCCUACAGUGUGGGAGACCCAGGUUCAAUCCCUGGGUCAGGAA
rnacentral:tRNA from 1 species